UACGAAGGGGGCUAGCGUUGUUCGGAAUUACUGGGCGUAAAGCGCACGUAGGCGGUUUCUUAAGUCGGUGGUGAAAUCCUGGAGCUCAACUCCAGAACUGCCUUCGAUACUGGGAAACUUGAGUUCGGGAGAGGUGAGUGGAACUGCGAGUGUAGAGGUGAAAUUCGUAGAUAUUCGCAAGAACACCAGUGGCGAAGGCGGCUCACUGGCCCGAUACUGACGCUGAGGUGCGAAAGCGUGGGGAGCAAACAGG
rnacentral:rRNA from 1 species